rnacentral:rRNA from 1 species
AUGUCAUACAGUUUGACUAAAUCUAAACGAAUACGAAUCAGGUUCAUGGUUGAGCAUUUUGUUUUGAUGAUUCAACAUAAGAUCAGAUGUGACACUGAGUUCAGUCUCUCCUGCCUUGGUUUUCAGAUUCAUGAUUUUCUUUCACAAUUCAUGAUUUCCUUUCGCACGAAGCUUGCUUUAUGGUUGUCUAUGAAUUUUCGCUUGCUCUAUAUGUAUGAUAGCUUCUGUAUUUUGUUGUUGUUUGCUCAAAAUAUUAUGUCCGGCGAAGUAUUUAUUUCCAAGCUGGCAAUGCUUUAUAGGUGUCUUUGUUUACUAGAAUUGGAAGCUCGGUCUGCAUUUUGUAGAGGAAGCUUUUGUUUUUUUACAACUCACCGACAGGUCCUUGUUAGACAGCUGUGCAAUUUGAAGUAUUGUGUCGGCAUGCAUCUUUGUAUUUGUACUGUGUUGAUCAGAGAGAGAGACCUGACUCGGUGGUCCUUUGAUGUUACAGGAGAGCAUAUAUAUGUGAAGAAAAGAAAAGGCUGGGAGUCAUCGUUGUUACAAGAUGACGCUCAAGGGAAGAAAAUCUAUGCUGGAGAUGGGGGAGCAAGUUUGAUCUUGCAGAGGGUGAGAGGACGGACGGAUGGACCUUAUAGCGACUCUUGGUUGUAA